rnacentral:rRNA from 1 species
GAAUUCACUAGUGAUUGGAUCNCAGGCCUAACACAUGCAAGUCGAGCGCCGUAGCAAUACGGAGCGGCAGACGGGAGAGUAACACGUGGGAACGUGCCCUUCAGUUCGGAACAACCCCAGGGAAACUUGGGCUAAUACCGGAUACGUCCGUAAGGAGAAAGAUUUAUCGCUGAAGGAUCGGCCCGCGUCUGAUUAGCUUGUUGGUGAGGUAACGGCUCACCAAGGCGACGAUCAGUAGCUGGUCUGAGAGGAUGAUCAGCCUCACUGGGACUGAGACACGGCCCAGACUCCUACGGGAGGCAGCAGUGGGGAAUAUUGGACAAUGGGGGCAACCCUGAUCCAGCAAUGCCGCGUGAGUGAGGAAGGCCUUAGGGUUGUAAAGCUCUUUCGCCCGCGACGAUGAUGACGGUAGCGGGAGAAGAAGCCCCGGCCAACUACGUG